rnacentral:rRNA from 1 species
CAGCAGCCGCGGAAUACGUAGGGUGCAAGCGUUAAUCGGAAUUACUGGGCGUAAAGCGUGCGCAGGCGGUUUGUUAAGACAGAUGUGAAAUCCCCGGGCUCAACCUGGGAACUGCAUUUGUGACUGGCAGGCUAGAGUAUGGCAGAGGGGGGUGGAAUUCCGCGUGUAGCAGUGAAAUGCGUAGAUAUGCGGAGGAACACCGAUGGCGAAGGCAGCCCCCUGGGCCAAUACUGACGCUCAUGCACGAAAGCGUGGGGAGCAAACAGGAUUAGAUACCCGGGUAGUCCCUGUCUCUUAUACA